CAGUCUGACAAAGGAAGGUGAUGUUUACAGGCUCCAGGUGGGGAAGCAAGGAGAUGGUGGUUUCAGGUGUAGCUGGCUCGCUUUUAGGUGUCUAGAUAUUCUCUCUGGAAUUCAAAUGCCCACUUACAGCAUGGGGCUCGGCUAGAGCACUGAGUGUCAGGAGCCCAGCUGCCCAGCCUCAAAUCCUGCCCUUGCCUUUAACCUGGGCCAGUUUGGGAUCCUUAAGUUACAAAUCUUGCCAUCUGUAAAAUGGGGCCCUUCCCGGUUUUGAAACCUCCAGGUCAGGCGUCAAGUGUGGUAAGAAGCUUUUGUGUCUGCUUUUGCCAUUGUUCUCACUGUGACCCUGGUUCCUUCAGCACCCCCCCCCCGACCCCCGUAAAUUACUGAAUCUGAAUUUGCCCUGCCUCACAUUUUCAGGGAAAGAGUGAUUUUUAUUUUGUUCCUCAAUAUUAAGGUAACUGCAAACAUAUUGCUGAAAGAAAAUAAAAGGUAUGUCUCCCGCUUUAGUCUGCAAU
rnacentral:lncRNA from 1 species